rnacentral:rRNA from 1 species
ACGGAAGGCAGCAGUGAGGAAUAUUGGUCAAUGGGCGGAAGCCUGAACCAGCCAAGUCGCGUGAAGGAUGAAGGUAUUAUGUAUUGUAAACUUCUUUAGCCAGGGGGCAAUAAGGCGUACGCGUACGCCGAUGAGCGUACCUGGAGAAUAAGGAUCGGCUAACUCCGUGCCAGCAGCCGCGGUAAUACGGAGGAUCCGAGCGUUAUCCGGAUUUAUUGGGUUUAAAGGGUGCGCAGGCGGCUUUCUAAGUCAGUGGUUAAAUCGUGACGCUCAACGUCAUCACGCCAUUGAUACUGGAGAGCUUGAUUGCGGUCGAGGUUUGCGGAAUUCGUCGUGUAGCGGUGAAAUGCAUAGAUAUGACGAAGAACACCGAUUGCGUAGGCAGCAGACCAGGCCGUAAAUGACGCUCAUGCACGAAAGUGCGGGGAUCGAACAGGAUUAGAUACCCUGGUA